CUCGGGCACGGCUGAGGGACUUCAAAGCUUCUAGCCAAUAAAUAGUCACUUUGCUUCCCCUUCUCUGUCCUUCGUUUGGAAGCUCCAAUCAGCGUCUCCUUCCCUUUUUUCAUCAGUCUCAUGGGGCGUCUGAGCCAAUCAGCAGCUGGUUUCCUUUCCCCGCCCUUUCAUGUCACGUGGUAAACGAAAGUCAAUCAGCAACCGAGGUUUUUGAAAUAUUUUCCGUUAAACGUGAGAACCAAUCAGCAUCCACUUUCCAUUAACGUUACACAUCUCGCAGGGUUAAUUCGAGCCAGUAAGCGGCCCCUUUCCUUUCCGAUCCCCCUCCCAUUUUCUUUAUGGUACGUCCGAACCAAUCAGCAGCUGCCUUCCCUACCCCCCCUUGACAUCUCAUGGUAUGUGCCAUACCUUUAAAAGGGAUUGUGCGGGGCGUAUUUUCCCCUUUUUCUCGUUGAAAUUCGCAAGGCCUGAAGUUGCGCUGUUACACAGCUGUGCCGCCGCCGCCGCCGGAUGGAGCGCGACCUCCGAGGGCUGGAGCUGCCCUGGCUGCCUGCGCGGGAGAUGUGGCCGGCCGCCGAGCCCCCCCGGGGAACAGAGUGCCAAGUCCUUGAGAUGAGCCGGCAGGGAUUUGCCUGGAAAGCUGGGAGUAGAGGUCAAAGCUUUGAGGGGCUAGUCCCACCUGAGUUUGGAAAGUUUUUUUUUUUGGAAGAAUAAUGAGAGCGGUAGCUGAGCUGCUGAACACCUUCAAAUACAGAGUAUUUCAGGUUUGAUUCCUUUACACCUCUAAGAAGAGCUGGAAAAACUGCUUGAAACUGUGGAGAGUUGUUGCUGGUGGUUGCUGUCGAAGGGACUAGGCUAGAGAGACUGAAGGUCUUGCUGUGUAUGAGUAGCAUUACUUAACUGUUCAUAGCAAUGCAGAGGAGCUAGAUUUGUCCGCUGCCCUCUUCCUUUCCACUGAACACUUGAAUAUAUUGGCCUGUCCAUAGAAAACAUCUUGAACACAAGAGACGGGAAAUGCAACUUUAUUCUUCUGUUCAGCAGCAGAAUUGAGAAUCAAGGCUAGUGGAAAAGCCAAAUACUGUGCUUGCACACAUCUCAAGAGGAGCUCCUUCAGUAGCUGAAACAGCUGGGGGAACUUGGCAGCGGCCUUCAAAGCAGUUUUACUGGCUCAAACAUUGUGGUGUGCCAGGAUGGCCCAUGACUUCACCCUGAGGCCUGGGCCAGAGGACUGUAAUACUCCAGUGCAACCUACACUCUGCUUUAAAGCUUUCUGGAAGAUGGCUCCGAGACAACCGGAGGGACCUUUGGUCUGCAUUGUUUUUUGGAAGUAAACCAAGUGUUAUGCUGCUCUGAAAUCUUUAGAUCCUGGCAGUUUAUACAUACAUACCAAUAAGUAACAGAUGAGUAAAUAAGGAAAAGAUGAUCACUGUUUCUAUAACUUGAAGGGCAAAGAAUAGAAACCAUGUUUGGAAAGUGCAAUAGUUAUAAAGGCAAUUAUGAGCCAGUGUGGUGAGGUGGCAAAAAUGUUGGAUUGGGGACUUGGAAGAUGUGGUUUCCAGUCCAUACUUGUCCAUGAAGCUCACUUGGUGACUUUGGGCCUGUCACUUGUGCUAAGUUUAACCUACCUCACAGGGUUGUAAGGAUAAAACCGAGUGGAGAAGGAAUAUGCAAGGCACUGGGUUUCUUGCAAGGGGAAAAAGCAGGGUAUAAAUGUGAAAUAGACAAGGCUACAUGCCAACAGACUAUCAGCUGUGCUUUCAAUCAAAACUUUACCUUGUGAAUGCGUUGCUUUCAUUAAGUUUUUAGCUUGCUUCCCAACACAAUAAUUGAAGAUGAUUUUGGUAUUUAACUCGUGCAUCUAUAGUCCAAUUACCUGGCUAAUUUCUAUUCUAAUACCAGACAAAUUGUAUCCUGCUUGGAAAGUGGAUGGAGUUAAUUCUGUAUCAGCGAUGUAAAAUGUAUUAUUUCAUUCAUUAUCAUGGUGCUUCCAAGCCUUUUUCCCACCCUACUGGAAAACAUGCUGUGAGGAUCCUUGUAAAUGCAAAUGUAAAACCUUAACACAAAUGAGUAUUAAAUGACAUUGUUAUGUGCA